CAUUAUAAAAAGUUGGCUUUGUGUAAUUACACCGAGCCAUACAACCUAUAAAGUGAAAAUACUGCAGAUUUUAGGACCCCUUCUUCUCUAGUCACAAUCAUUUUAAACAGUGUACCCCAGGAUGAAAAAAGCUCCAUGGCUGACAUGUACAAUUACAUGUAUUAAUGACUGCUCUACAUCCUAUGUUCUGCCUUUGGCCACCACCUCUAUUCCACAUAUAAUUCAUCAUUCUUGUUUGCCUGCAGACUCUUGCAGUGCCUUGUAAUAUUUACAAUCUUUUCAGGUUUUUGCUGGAAAGAAAAGUAGUCUUCUAAAGUUUGAAGAUGGUGAAUAGUGUACUGCUGUCUCCAUGCUGACUGCAGUAACCGGGUUAUCAUAUAUGUUAUGUAUACAUUAUGUAUAUAUAACAUGUGUACAUUUAAAAAUACAGAAAAAAGUGAGCUUGUGCAGAAAUGGAGAAAACAAUGUUAUUCUCAUCACUGUGGGGUUUUAUUAAAAUUAUUUUUUCCCAUGACUUACAUGUUUGGUUCAGAUUAUAGUCACUUUGACUGUAAAUACUGGCUAGUUUUCUAUCCAGGGCUUUUGCAUUAUUUCAUAAUUUUGCUAAAUCAUAUAAUAGUGCUAUUUUCAUCCUUGUCUGAGGUACUUUUCCUCCCCAGAAAUAAUUAACUUGAGGUAAAGCUCAGAAAUUCCCUUCUUAACAAAGAGCCUACUAUAUAAAAAGGGCCUUCCUUUCCAAAAAACACACAAACCUGUCCUUUUCAUUUUCCUUCUUGUAGAGGAGAAAAUGGUUGUACUUAACCAUCCUGCUUGUAAAGUUUAUUCAGAGGAUAGUCUGUAUGUCCAGCCACCAUGUUUACUUCUCAAAGUGCAAGUCUGAUGAAUAGUACUGUAUCUCCAUAUGUGGUAAUGUGAGCAUUUCAUCAUGAAGUACCUGCUGCUAUGUCUGUGAAGUUGGGUGUAACAUCAUAAGAAUAUGAAACCAGUAUUGGUGUAAAUCUAAUGAAAAUAACCCUAUGUAUAUUUGUAGCAGUCUUGAAUCUCUAUUUAAGGUAAUUUGCUGUAAUAUAACAAAUAUUCAUUCUGUUUUUCAUCCCUUCCUUGCCAGUUUUAUAUCAAGCAUGAAUUCCAAUGGUUUGACAGCAAAAUUAUCUGUGAAAGUUUAAAAGGCACUUUUCUGCUGUGAUUUUUGGAUUGAGUGUGGAGUGUUAUGUACAGUUUGAUGGGAUAUAUCAUUUUAGAACCCCAGAUUUAAUUCUAGUCCAAUUAAUUUUGUUUAACUACCUCGUUUUCAGUGCUGUUUUGGGUGCACAAGUAAACACUACCUGUGAAACUUGCUUUUUUGCCUUGAUUCUCAGUAUUCUUUCAGAUUAUAAAUCUGGUCUGCCUCUUUUUUCCCAGUGCUAGCCAACAGUUUGAGAUGAGAGGGAUCAUCACUCUCAUCUGUGUUUAAGUGGAGAGCCAUGUGCUUCUGUGAAAUAUGCUUUGGGGAUUUGGGGGUGGAGAGCAGAAGAAUAAUUGAAAUUGGUGGCAAUAUAGGAUUUAGGUGUAGGAGUUAGUUAUAAAAUAAACAAAUGGUAAGAAAGUACCUGAAUUAGACAAUCCAGUGCCUAUAACUUUGCAUUUUUUAUUAGAGAUGCAUUUCUCGUCUGUGUGCCUAAAGGGCAAUGGGUUGAAAUUGCUUUAACUACCACAGCGAAAUAUUUGACAAAUCCUUCAGCAAUGGCCUAUCAUUCAACAUAUAUUAGCACAGUGCUAGGUAUUUGCAGUGGUAUUUUGUUACCUUAAAACGGCCAAAUGCAUUUAGUUGAAAUGUAGUUGAUAGUAAGGGUUUUAUAUAACUUUAUCCAAUCUCUAAAGUUUAUGGAAGCAUUGACUUUCUUCUUUGCUGUCUUUUCUGAGUGAUGAAAAUGAUGCAUUCCUUUUUUUUCCUUGAAAACUCAGCAAAUGUUUGUAACCAGAUGUUCCUUGUUUCACAUGUUUACUGUGUAACACUACAGCAUAUUUAAUAUUGGUAAAUACUGUAUUUCAGUCAUUAUGCAUAAGUACAUUCCUGAGGUAUAUUUGCCAUCAUUUUGGGAUUCAGUUAUUUUAUCUUCUGUUUGGGUCAGAAAAACUUGAACUAUCUGAGGUGGUAUGCAGGCCAUUUUCUAGAAGAUUGUUUUUUGAAUCUGUAGUUUAUCAAGGACUUGUUCCCCCCCUCCCUUUGUUUAGAAGAGGAAUCAGAAAAGGGGGGUGGUGUGUAGAAAAGGCCUUUGAUUUGAUAGGUGUAAUUUCUAAGAUUGAAAUUUUAAAAAUGCAGAUCGUAAGAUAGUAACACUCAAACUUGAUAAAAUCCUUUGAAUUGAAAUUAGUAUGAAAUUUUUAUGGAACCAAAUGCCUUCAGGUCACCCUGGAAAUAGUCUUUGUAUGUGAAAGAUCAACACAAACAUUGGUCAGGAACCCUGACAGCCAAUAUAUGAAGGAGCCUGGGAUAGUAACUAGGUUACACUAAAGUUAUUUUCAACUAAGAUAGCUAGACGAGUGUACAAACCAAUAGCUCCUAUUCUGGAAGGUUUUCUUUUUAUUAAAAAAAAUUCAAACAAGGUUAAAAGUCAAGCAAGAAGGGAAGAGAGAAACUGGGUUCUGAGAAAAAAAUGUGCCAGUAUAAAAUAAACUCCUAAAUGCGUGCUUGUCAUCCUCUAGUUUUUUUUUAAGUUGAAUUUCUUUUCCACUGUAACUUAAGAUUUGAGAUUGAGGUUUGCGGUCCAGAACAUACCCUCAGCAGAUACAGUGACUAACUGGAAAGUGCAGUUGUUCAAGGUCUGUCAUGCUCAAUCACCUAAAGCUAUAAUUUGUUUGAUAUAUUAAGCAUGUAGACCUAGUGCAGCAUGGGAGCCACUCAGGAAGUUUAUGCAAUUAAUAAACUUUCAGCAUAAUUUACUAUGAAGUAUGCAGAAUUUCACCCUCUUCUCCACACUUAACAUUUAGUUGUAUAUGUGAACUCUCCUUUCUUAAUUGGGGAAUGUAGCAUUAUAUAGAAUGUUGUUAAAGUUAAUUUUAAUCCUUUUUGACAUUAACCUUUUUUUUUUUUUGGUAAACCAAGUGAUCUGCCUUUCAGCAACUGUCUUAUUUUGGUUCUUUGAAACUGUGAUUUUUAUUUCAUUUGUACCCAACCAUUGUAAGUAUUUUGUUUUGUUUCCUGGAAAUUCUGUUUUGAAACAGAAAAUAAAGGCUGUGUUAAAUGAG
rnacentral:lncRNA from 1 species